rnacentral:rRNA from 1 species
ACUUAGUGGCGGACGGGUGAGUAACACGUGAGCAAUCUGCCUUUCAGAGUGGGAUACCGUUUGGAAACGAACGUUAAUACCGCAUAACGCAGCGAGGCCGCAUGACCUUGCUGCCAAAGAUUUAUCGCUGAAAGAUGAGCUCGCGUCUGAUUAGAUAGUUGGUGAGGUAACGGCUCACCAAGUCGACGAUCAGUAGCCGGACUGAGAGGUUGAACGGCCACAUUGGGACUGAGACACGGCCCAGACUCC